UGGGGAAUUUUGGACAAUGGGCGAAAGCCUGAUCCAGCCAUGCCGCGUGAGUGAAGAAGGCCUUCGGGUUGUAAAGCUCUUUUAGUCGGAAAGAAAGAGUUGCGAUGAAUAAUUGUGAUUUAUGACGGUACCGACAGAAAAAGCACCGGCUAACUACGCGCCAGCAGCCGCGGUAAUACGUAGGGUGCGAGCGUUAAUCGGAAUUACUGGGCGUAAAGGGUGCGCAGGCGGUCUUGCAAGACAGAUGUGAAAGCCCCGGGCUUAACCUGGGAAUUGCGUUUGAAACUACAAGGCUAGAGUGCAGCAGAGGGGAGUGGAAUUCCAUGUGUAGCAGUGAAAUGCGUAGAGAUGUGGAAGAACACCGAUGGCGAAGGCAGCUCCCUGGGUUGACACUGACGCUCAUGCACGAAAGCGUGGGGAGCAAACA
rnacentral:rRNA from 1 species